GGAUGAACGCUGGCGGCGUGCCUAAUACAUGCAAGUCGAGCGAACGGACGAGAAGCUUGCUUCUCUGAUGUUAGCGGCGGACGGGUGAGUAACACGUGGAUAACCUACCUAUAAGACUGGGAUAACUUCGGGAAACCGGAGCUAAUACCGGAUAAUAUUUUGAACCGCAUGGUUCAAAAGUGAAAGACGGUCUUGCUGUCACUUAUAGAUGGAUCCGCGCUGCAUUAGCUAGUUGGUAAGGUAACGGCUUACCAAGGCAACGAUGCAUAGCCGACCUGAGAGGGUGAUCGGCCACACUGGAACUGAGACACGGUCCAGACUCCUACGGGAGGCAGCAGUAGGGAAUCUUCCGCAAUGGGCGAAAGCCUGACGGAGCAACGCCGCGUGAGUGAUGAAGGUCUUCGGAUCGUAAAACUCUGCUAUUAGGGAAGAACAUAUGUGUAAGUAACUGUGCACAUCUUGACGGUACCUAAUCAGAAAGCCACGGCUAACUACGUG
rnacentral:rRNA from 1 species